UAAAUAACAGUAAAAUUGUCGGUUCACUGAAAUUUAACAUUCAAAAUAGUAUAAUUGUCGUGUAUAAAUUGAUAAUAUCGCUCCCGAGUUUUUGCGCUUCAAAUUAUUUCCACGAAGACAGUUUUGGAGUUUGCUGUACAAAACACACCAUUGCUGAAAACGCGACAAGGUGGUAGUUUGAUAUAUUUUGAUAUAUCAAACUACCCUGUGAAGAUGAAUAAAUUGAAAAAUUUUGUUAAAUGCGCAAAAGCUAAUAGCAAAUAAAUGCAAAUAUUCUUUAAAACAACUAACUGAUUGUUAUAAUCAAAAAGAUUUAUAGCAUGUUUACCUAACUAGUGGGGUGUGCUAGUUGAAAAUUGCCGCUAUCGCUUAUCGAAUAAUUGGAUUCAGAUAGUAUACCUCGCCGCUACUAUUAAUAAUACAAUUUUUAUCGAAAAAUCCUUUCAAUUUCUACUUUCACUGUCUCGGUAACUCUUGGCAAUUGAAUUGCUUGAUGACAUUGUAAAUAAAUUUGAAUGCAGUGGGCCUAAAAUAUUAAUAAAAUUGUUAUUAACACAAACAAAUAAUUAUUUAUAAUGAAAAUAGUCGUUUAUUUAUUAUUAAUAACAACGAUUGAUAACACACACACAUAUAACAAAUAUAAUA